rnacentral:rRNA from 1 species
GACGAACGCUGGCGGCGUGCCUAAUACAUGCAAGUAGAACGCACAGUUUAUACCGUAGCUUGCUACACCAUAGACUGUGAGUUGCGAACGGGUGAGUAACGCGUAGGUAACCUGCCUGGUAGCGGGGGAUAACUAUUGGAAACGAUAGCUAAUACCGCAUAAUAUUAAUUAUUGCAUGAUAAUUAAUUGAAAGGUGCAAUUGCACCACUACCAGAUGGACCUGCGUUGUAUUAGCUAGUAGGUGAGGUGACGGCUCACCUAGGCGACGAUACAUAGCCGACCUGAGAGGGUGAUCGGCCACACUGGGACUGAGACACGGCCCAGACUCCUACGGGAGGCAGCAGUAGGGAAUCUUCGGCAAUGGACGAAAGUCUGACCGAGCAACGCCGCGUGAGUGAAGAAGGGUUUCGGAUCGUAAAGCUCUGUUGUAAGAGAAGAACGGGUGUGAGAGUGGAAAGUUCACACUGUGACGGUAUCUUACCAGAAAGGGACGGCUAACUACGUG